AUUGAACGCUGGCGGCAUGCCUAACACAUGCAAGUCGAACGGCAGCACGGCAGUAGCAAUACUGUGGGUGGCGAGUGGCGGACGGGUGAGGAAUACGUCGGAAUCUGCCCAGUCGUGGGGGAUAACUAGCCGAAAGGUUAGCUAAUACCGCAUACGACCGAGAGGUGAAAGCGGGGGACCGCAAGGCCUCGCGCGAUUGGAUGAGCCGACGUCGGAUUAGCUAGUUGGAGGGGUAAAGGCCACCAAGGCGACGAUCCGUAGCUGGUCUGAGAGGAUGAUCAGCCACACUGGAACUGAGACACGGUCCAGACUCCUACGGGAGGCAGCAGUGGGGAAUAUUGGACAAUGGGCGCAAGCCUGAUCCAGCAAUGCCGCGUGUGUGAAGAAGGCCUCGGUU
rnacentral:rRNA from 1 species